CCUACGGGUGGCAGCAGUGGGGAAUAUUGCACAAUGGGGGAAACCCUGAUGCAGCGACGCCGCGUGAGUGAAGAAGUAUUUCGGUAUGUAAAGCCCUAUCAGCAGGGAAGAUAAUGACGGUACCUGACUAAGAAGCCCCGGCUAACUACGUGCCAGCAGCCGCGGGAAUACGUAGGGGGCCAGCGUUAUCCGGAUUUACUGGGUGGAAAGGGUGCGUAGGUGGCAGGGCAAGUCAGAUGUGAAAGCCCGGGUCUCAACCCCGGUACUGCAUUUGAAACUGUCCAGCUGGAGUGCAGGAGAGGUAAGCGGAAUUCCUAGUGUAGCGGUGAAAUGCGUAGAUAUUAGGAGGAACACCAGUGGCGAAGGCGGCUUACUGGACUGUAACUGACACUGAGGCACGAAAGCGUGGGGAGCAAACAGGAUUAGAUACCCCAGUAGUC
rnacentral:rRNA from 1 species